UGACGUUGGCGAUGAGGCGUGCUAGUGACGUUUUAUAAGAAAAGGCGACGGCAAAUGCGAACGUCGGAGUGGAGGAUCAGUCAAAACGUGUUUAGUUUGGUGUACCAGAAUCGUGCAACGAAGAUAUUCAAAGAAAGAAUCGGAGAGAGCCGAACGGGAAACCGAACGAAAGCAAUUACGAUUAAGUUGAACCUCCCGCACUUCUUUCCACUUGUUCGAGAGACGACGGGGGAGAACAGCACUCACUCACGAGGCGGCUAGAUCGUCCUCACUCCGAUGAUCCAGCAUCAUCGCAGCGCGCCUCCUCGCGGUUCCACGCCACAAAUGCGAACAGGCCGGUUACUUGCAUCGCAUUGAGCGCGACAUUUGUGUUUAACAAAAAUUUGUGCUUGACAAAGAGAGAACGUGUGACUCUCGCGGAGAACUCUCGCAACUGGACGACGCGAGAAAAAACGAAGAGCAACGAGGAGCAACGAGGCGAGGCGAGGCGGGACGAGACGAGACCAGACGAGACGAUACGAGACGAGGCGCGGCGAGGCGAGACGAGACGAGGUACAAAAAAAAAAGGAAAGGCAAAACGGCGCAAUGUCGUGACACGACGCAAGAAUAAUACUCAGCCAACACGCGUGCCGGCUCGGCGUCGACUGAAUUCAACGGCAGUCGCGCGCCACGAGAGGGAGGCGUGUCUCCGGCGUACGAUGGAAAGAGACCAAGUUAUGCUACCACGGCGAAGAAGGGAUGAAGAAGGCACGAGGAAGAGAGAAGAAUGGUUUUCACCGCGUUAGACAGGGACGUGCAAAAGGAUGAGCGACCGACCGGCCGUCGGAGACCAUAGUCACACUGGUUGCAACUGUUAGAGGGAGUUGAGCGGCGUGCUGAGGAACGGAACGGAGCGGAGCGGAGUGGUGUGGAGUGGAGUGGAGUGGAGCAGAGCGGAGCAGAGCAGAACGGAGCGCAGCGAAAUAUAGUGGAGAGGAAAGGAGAGAAAUGGUUUCAGGAGAAACGAACGCGACGGGAUUGAACGGAACGGAAUGGAAUGGAAUGAGAUGCCUCAAUUCGCGGAGACGGACGAAUGACACAAAGGGCAAAAGAGAGUUACACAAACGCUGAUUAUCCAAAACUACCGUUUGCAACGCUACCGUGCAGCGAUAGCGCAGUCUGAGGAACUCUGCCUCCUUUCAUUGAGAGCGUAUGGAAACGUGAAAUGGGGAAGAGAAUUGUGGAAGAGGUGAAGGAAGAAGAAGAGAAGAAAGAAUCAGUGUUCAUCGACGGGAAUUCAAAACGUGCAAAAGAGCGAACGCGUGAGCACGUUUGCUGAGAGCGGUUCGAGGGACACGAGCGAUACACAUGCACGCCUGUCAUCAGUAAUCUCAAUAGGUGUCGGGCCAGGGAAAUAAAUUAACGAGGUGUUUGUCCGCUAUCACCACUCUUUUUCCAAGCCGGAUUAAAAUCACUCUGUCUUUAAUAAUUACGCCGGCCGAAUACGUUAAAUGAGGCGCGCGUCGCGACGCAUUUACCACUGUUGCUUUUUGAUAAUGUUAUUUACAGCUUUGAUUUACAAUAGAUCACCACCGAACCACGCAAUCCAUGCGAAUUACUCCCUCCAUUGUAUAUAACAUUUCAGAACAAAAGAGAUAUAAAAUGCGGCGUGUGAUGGUAAAUUUUAUUCGUCACGUUGAAAGUGAAGAAGCGCUUGCUGAAAACGUAUAAAGCAAGAGGAGUAAAACGCACUGGAUACUGCUCUUCGGACCAUUAUCGUCUAUAGACUGUAUCACUGUGAAUUAUGUGUUAAUUAUAAGACUAUUAUGCGAUUAUGUUAAAAGUAUUACUUAAUAUUCAAAGGUGAAGGAAUACACACUUUAAAAAUUC